CUUGUUUUCGGAAAUUCUGGGCGUAAGCGCGUGUAGGUGGCUCGCUAAGUCGAAUGUGAAAGCCCCCGGCUUAACUGGGGGAGGUCAUUUGAUACUGGUGGGCUUGAGGACAAGAGAGGAGAGUGGAAUUCCCGGUGUAGCGGUGGAAUGCGUAGAGAUCGGGAGGAACACCAGUGGCGAAAGCGGCUCUCUGGCUUGUCCCUGACACUGAGACGCGAAAGCGUGGGGAGCAAACGGGAUUAGAUACCCCGGUAGUCCACGCCAUAAACGAUGCAGACUGGGUGUUGGCGCCAUUUGGCGUCAGUGCCGAAGCAAACGCGUUAAGUCUGCCGCCUGGGGACUACGAGCGCAAGCUUAAAACUCAAAGGAAUUGACGGGGGCCCGCACAAGCAGCGGAGCGUGUGGUUUAAUUCGAUGCAACACGAAGAACCUUACCAGGGCUUGACAUGCAGGUGGUAGCAAACCGAAAGGGGCGCGACCCGCAAGGGAGCCUGCACAGGUGAUGCAUGGCUGUCGUCAGCUCGUGCCGUGAGGUGUAGGGUUAAGUCCCGCAACGAGCGCAACCCCUGUCGCUAGUUACAUGUGUCUAGCGAGACUGCCGGAUUAUAUCCGGAGGAAGGCGGGGAUGAUGUCAAGUCAGCAUGUCCUUUAUGUCCUGGGCUACACACACGCUACAAUGGGCGUUACAGAGCGUUGCCAAACCGUAAGGUGGAGCUAAUCGCACAAAAGCGUCCUCAGUUCAGAUUGCAGGCUGCAACUCGCCUGCAUGAAGUCGGAGUUGCUAGUAAACGCGCGUCAGCUAUAGUGCGUUGAAUACGUUCCCGGGCCUUGUACACACCGCCCGUCACGUGAUGGGAGUUGGUAACACCUGAAGUCGGUGACCCAACCGCAAGGAGGGAGCCGCCGAGGGUGGGGCUAGUGACUGGCACGAAGUCGUAACAAGGUAACC
rnacentral:rRNA from 1 species